rnacentral:rRNA from 1 species
GUGGGGAAUAUUGGACAAUGGGCGAAAGCCUGAUCCAGCCAUGCCGCGUGUGUGAAGAAGGUCUUCGGAUUGUAAAGCACUUUAAGUUGGGAGGAAGGGCAGUAAGUUAAUACCUUGCUGUUUUGACGUUACCGACAGAAUAAGCACCGGCUAACUUCGUGCCAGCAGCCGCGGUAAUACGAAGGGUGCAAGCGUUAAUCGGAAUUACUGGGCGUAAAGCGCGCGUAGGUGGUUCAGCAAGUUGGAGGUGAAAUCCCCGGGCUCAACCUGGGAACUGCCACCAAAACUACUGAGCUAGAGUACGGUAGAGGGUAGUGGAAUUUCCUGUGUAGCGGUGAAAUGCGUAGAUAUAGGAAGGAACACCAGUGGCGAAGGCGACUACCUGGACUGAUACUGACACUGAGGUGCGAAAGCGUGGGGAGCAAACAGGAUUAGAAACCCCGGUAGUCC